rnacentral:rRNA from 1 species
UGGUGGCGAUGCGCUUAGGGGACACACCCGUUCCCAUCCCGAACACGAUGGUUAAGACCUAAGCGGCCGAUGGUACUGUACUGGAGACGGUACGGGAGAGUAGGUGGCUGCCA